rnacentral:rRNA from 1 species
CCUACGGGAGACAGCAGUAGGGAAUAUUGCUCAAUGGGGGAAACCCUGAAGCAGCAACGCCGCGUGGAGGAUGAAGGUUUUCGGAUUUUAAACUCCUUUUGUUAGAGAAGAUAAUGACGGUAUCUAACGAAUAAGCACCGGCUAACUCCGUGCCAGCAGCCGCGGUAAUACGGAGGGUGCAAGCGUUACUCGGAAUCACUGGGCGUAAAGAGCGCGUAGGCGGGAUAGCAAGUCAGAUGUGAAAUCCUAUGGCUUAACCAUAGAACUGCAUUUGAAACUGUUAUUCUAGAGUAUGGGAGAGGUAGGUGGAAUUCUUGGUGUAGGAGUAAAAUCCGUAGAGAUCAAGAGGAAUACUCAUUGCGAAGGCGACCUGCUAGAACAUAACUGACGCUGAUGCGCGAAAGCGUGGGGAGCAAACAGGAUUAGAUACCCGAGUAGUC